rnacentral:lncRNA from 1 species
GGAAAUAAACAUUCCUUCCCUGUCAGGAAAAAAAUCACUUGUCUAGUCUGUCUAGAUUUUAAAGUGUGAUCCUUAGUGGCGUCCUACCAUCAUCUGUGUGCUGGUGUGGGGUGUACCAUGCCCCCUGCCCUGCAGCACACGCUGUUCUUCCUGGAAGGCUGAUCACAGGCAGAGAUUGUAGUGGCUACUUGCAUACCAAGGACCAAGACACACCUCUUCUCAAACAUUGCCUGCUCUCCUCUGGAGUUCAGGUGCUGAGAAUACAACAAUGAACAACACAGAUUAAGCCUCUAUUUUUAUGGAGUGCCCUACAGUUAAAUGACAGAUGUCACUUUUGCUCUCAACUAAUUUACUAGCACUACUUAAAUGGCUCAAUUCAACUAUAAGGGAGAAAAGAAAUGAAAUCCUGCCAUGUACCUGGAGAUUGGAGUACAAGAAAUACUUGGUAAACAGCACAAAUGACCAUCACCACAGUGCACUCUUCUCACCACAAAACAUUUGGCCCAUUCUCUCUCUCACAGGCAAGGGACCUGGGAAUUUUCUCGAGGCUUACCUAUGCAUGAAGAGAACUAAGAGCCUGCCUUCACUCUGUGAAUUUCUGUGGACUGAAGUCCUUCUCCAAGUUGAGCUGUGCAGUUCAUACCAUGACAGAUUUUCCAUUUCUUCCUCCCAGAAGCCUAUUGGCAGAACCAGUCUGCAUACUACACUGUUGUGGUAGGCGGCAGACAGAUGUGACUCAGAGCAUGUUUGAUUUCCCAGAACAUAUUUCCAAGGGGGUAAUGGCUAAUGAGUUCACCUUUGAGUCUGCCAACAAAAGAGGCCCACAGAGACACCCAGGUCAGCUGAAAUCUACCAGACACAGAGAAGACAGAUUCCAGACACCAGCAGGGUCUACGAAUGCCUGCUAGACAGCCAUAUAAAAAGAAAGCUACCUAAUUCUGAAAAACCAGCUUCACUGCAUUGGUCCAUCUAAUCAUGAGGUGAUCCCACAGGUACACUUUCAGUGGGAGUAACAAGAAAAAGAAAAGGCUAUAAGGUCUAUGUUAAUGAAGUCAUAAUCUGCAUUAGGGUCUGUCUUAGGGCUCUACUUUUAUUUUUUCAUUAAAUAUUUGUUGAAUUUCUACCAUGGGUCAGUCCCUAUUCUAGGUGCGGGGGAUAUAUCAGACAAAAAUCCCCGCCCACCCCACCCCUAGAACUCAUAUGCU